rnacentral:tRNA from 1 species
GGGAGUAUGGCUCAGUGGUAAAACAUGUGCUUGGUGUGCACAAGGUCCCGGGUUCAAUCCCCAGUGCCUCUG